rnacentral:rRNA from 1 species
UGCAACUCGACUACAUGAAGCUGGAAUCGCUAGUAAUCGCGAAUCAGAAUGUCGCGGUGAAUACGUUCCCGGGUCUUGUACACACCGCCCGUCACACCAUGGGAGUCAGUAACGCCCGAAGCCGGUGACCCAACCAAUUCAGGAGGGAGCCGUCGAAGGUGGGACCGAUAACUGGGGUGAAGUCGUAACAAGGUAGC